AUGGUCGCGCACAGGGUGGCCUUCCUGUGGGUGGCGGCGCGCAUGGCAGAUCGAGAGAGAGAGAAGGACAUCGAGUGGAGGGAGAAGGGGAUCGGGCUCCUCGCGGCGCUGGAAGGAUCGAGCAUGGGAGCGAGAGGGGGAUUAGAUCAGGCUAGGGUUAAGGGGAGACCAGUGGCUGGGCCUGCUGGUUGGGCCUCGUGGCCUGCUGGGCUGGGAGAAUUGGGAACAAGGAGAGAUGGGUUGGCAUGCACUGUUGAACAGUUGUUUUCCAAAAAAAGGAUAAAAACAAGACACAGAGCAAGAGAAGAGAAAAUAUUUGGGAUUCCAAAUAUUUUCUAA
rnacentral:rRNA from 1 species